UCGGGUGGGUUGCCGAUGCACGUCGCUGACCCGAGGUGGCGGGCGGCAGUAUAUAGCGGCACCGAGCGACCGCGUCGCCAAACCGGCUCUAACCCCGAAGGGAAAGAAAGCUUGAACGCCACGGUGCGCGAAUCGGUGCGGCCGCMGUUCCCCGAAGCCCCCCUCGCACCCGCUCGAGACGGUGGAGCGGAACGUCAACCGAAAGAAGACGUGCAAGAGGGGGUAAAGCCCAACGAGGAUGAAAGCGACCGGAUCGCCACGUGUGUUUACGGAUCGUGUUAGCCUUGGAAC
rnacentral:rRNA from 1 species